CAGAUAGUUUUGGUUUUCCAAUUUGUGCAUACGUUUUUGAAUGAUAAAUUAAUGCUGGAUUAAGUUUAUUGAAAAUUUUCAAAGAAAGGUUUGUCUAUGUGAACUAUGUCGGUCGGCAUUAGAGUUGUUCGUGGUCCAGACUGGAAUUAUGGAGACAAAGAUGGAGGAGAAGGUCACGUGGGCUCAAUCAUUGCUGUCAGUCAAGAUAAUUCCUGCGAUGUAGUAUGGGACAAUGGCCGUGAAAUGAAGUGUAACAUCGGAAAAGGAGGAAAACGUGAUCUGAGAGUCGUGGACAACGCACCAGCAGAGCAGCAAGGACGCAUGUCGGGAGAAAUCGUU